GGCUCAGGAUGAACGCUAGCUACAGGCUUAACACAUGCAAGUCGAGGGGCAUCAUGGAGUUUGCUUGCAAACUCUGAUGGCGACCGGCGCACGGGUGAGUAACGCGUAUCCAACCUUCCCUAUAGUAGAGGAUAGCCCGGCGAAAGUCGGAUUAAUACUCUAUGUUUUCCGUUGCAGACAUCUAAGAUGGAACAAAGGCUUGCCGCUAUAGGAUGGGGAUGCGUCUGAUUAGGUAGUCGGCGGGGUAACGGCCCACCGAGCCAUCGAUCAGUAGGGGUUCUGAGAGGAAGGUCCCCCACAUUGGAACUGAGACACGGUCCAAACUCCUACGGGAGGCAGCAGUGAGGAAUAUUGGUCAAUGGGCGAGAGCCUGAACCAGCCAAGUAGCGUGCCAGGACGACGGCCCUAUGGGUUGUAAACUGCUUUUAUGCGGGGAUAAAGUUCACUACGUGUAGUGUUUUGUAGGUACCGCAUGAAUAAGGACCGGCUAAUUCCGUGCCAGCAGCAGC
rnacentral:rRNA from 1 species